CGUUAAAUGUAAUGUCCACUUCUGAAACAACAACAUACAGUAAAACUGAACUAUGGUAUAUAGUGCUGGGUUCCACUGGCGUUGCUGUAAUUUUGUCUGGACUCAUCUGUUUCUGUCGGUUUGCAAGUAAAAAAAGAAGAAAACUAAACAAAACAAGAUCAAACAAACCUGAUGUGACCAGUCAAGAGAUUGGUAUGGUGAGUAUCACUAUAACAUUUACAAUAAUAA
ensembl:lncRNA